CCCCAGUGGGUGUUUGUGUCAGAACUCAGGCUUGGAAAAUCCUCUACAAUUUUGAUCACCAGGAAGGUUCAGGUGUUGGUGUGUGAUGUAAAAGCAGCAGUGGGCUGUGGGAAAUAACUCUGAACUGGCAAACAGUGAGUCCUUCUUACUGAGUCCAAAGCCAUUCCUGAAGAAGAAAGCUGGAAUCAUGCACUGCACACACUGCAUUUCUCCUUUCCUCUCUGGCACACCUGUCAAGCCUUACAGCUUUGGCAGAAAACCAUCCCAAGGCACCCAAACCAGCAGUGCAGGCUGAGGCCCCGGCUGCAGACAGACUCCCCCUGCAUUCCUGGCUGUUCCAUCCUCCUGAGCGCUGUCUCAGAGCAGCUGCAGGAGCAGAGCUGAUGUUCAGCCCACACCUUCUCUUUGCUCCCAGGUUCCAGAUAUUCCCUGUAGCUGCUCAGGGCCGUCAUUGACCGUGUGGGAAAGACAAAUUUCCAACGUGCCUGACAGAGCUGCGGAAGGAGCGAAGCCUGACUCCUGAAUUGAUUUGGAUUCCCACAGCCCCGGGGGACUUUCUUUUAGGCUGAUGCCUGCCACAGCUGGAACUGUCAAUGUUAUCAUACAGAGCAGAGGUUUCAGUCUCCCUUUGGCAUAUUGAUUAUCUGGAAUUCAGUGUCGAUUCUUUCCGUUUUAUAGGAAUGUUAUUAAUUAUAAAUCUUACUUCUAGAAGAUAUAAGUACUCAUUGCUUGAAGUGAAAUUCAUUGCGGUGCUUGAAUCAUAUUAAGCGCCUUUAAUGAGAAAGAAGCUAAGAACUUCAAGAAACUCUAAAUUUAAUGUUAUUUCACCUCCACAA